AGAAUGAACGCUAGCGAUAUGCUUAACACAUGCAAGUUGAACGUUGUUUUCGAAUCAGAAUGAGAACAAAGUAGCGAACGGGUGCGUAACACGUGGGAAUCUGCCGAACAGUUUGGGCCAAAUCCCGAAUGAAUAAAAGCUAAAAAGCGCUGUUUGAUGAGCCCACGUAGUAUUAGGUAGUUGGUUAGGUAAAAGCUGACCAAGCCUACGAUGCUUAGCUGGUCUUUUCGGAUGAUCAGCCACACUGGGACUGAGACACGGCCCCAGACUCCUACGGGAGGCAGCAGUGGGGAAUCUUGGACAAUGGGCGAAAGCCUGAUCCGGCAAUAUGGCGUGAGUGAAGAAGGGCAACGCAGCUUGUAAAGCUCUUUCAUCGAGUGUGCGAUUGUGACAAGACUACGAAUAAGAAGCCCCGGCUAACCUCCGCGCCAGCAGCCGC
rnacentral:rRNA from 1 species